rnacentral:tRNA from 1 species
GCGGGUGUGGCGGAACUGGUAGACGCGCCAGGUUUAGGACCUGGUGGGGAAACCCGUGGAGGUUCGAGUCCUCUCGCCCGCA